AGAUUUGUGGAGAGAUUUGGCCUAUUGCAACCACCAAAAAAAAUGCUAAAAAAGUUUCA
rnacentral:ncRNA from 1 species